rnacentral:rRNA from 2 species
AAUAGCCUAACGGCUGAACCAGCAACUUGGAGGAAUGAAUAGCAAUAGCUAAUUGUGUCAAAAACAUGAUGCAAAAUCGAUUUCUUGAUUAAAAUUCUGGGUAGAAUUAUGAUUAUGACAUUGUCUACCCACGUGUCUUGACCAAAUUGCGUGCCAGCAGUCGCGGUAAUACGUAGAAGACUAGUGUUAUUCAUCUUUAUUUGGUUUAAAGGGUACCUAGACGGUAAAUCAAGCCCUAGACGGGACUAAUUUGCUAGAGUUACUUAUGAGGGGGUUUUAAAGUACUAAUGGUGUAGAGAUGAAAUUUUGUAAUACCAUUUUUUGAAAGAAAAAAGUUAUGGCACAGGUAUAGGCGAAAGCAUCCCCUUAUGUGAUAA